CGGGUGAGUAACGCGUAAAGAACUUGCCUCAUAGUCUGGGACAACAUUUGGAAACGGAUGCUAAUACCGGAUAUUAUGCUUUCUUCGCAUGGAGGAAGUAUGAAAGCUAUAUGCGCUAUGAGAGAGCUUUGCGUCCCAUUAGCUAGUUGGUGAGGUAACGGCCCACCAAGGCGAUGAUGGGUAGCCGGCCUGAGAGGGUGAACGGCCACAAGGGGACUGAGACACGGCCCUUACUCCUACGGGAGGCAGCAGCA
rnacentral:rRNA from 1 species